rnacentral:rRNA from 1 species
GACGAACGCUGGCGGCGUGCUUAACACAUGCAAGUCGAACGGAAAGGCCCUGCUUUUGUGGGGUGCUCGAGUGGCGAACGGGAGAGUAACACGUGAGUAACCUGCCCUUGACUUUGGGAUAACUUCAGGAAACUGGGGCUAAUACCGGAUAGGAGCUCCUGCUGCAUGGUGGGGGUUGGAAAGGUUCGGCGGUUGGGGAUGGACUCGCGGCUUAUCAGCUUGUUGGUGGGGUAGUGGCUUACCAAGGCUUUGACGGGUAGCCGGCCUGAGAGGGUGACCGGCCACAUUGGGACUGAGAUACGGCCCAGACUCCUACGGGGGGCAGCAGUGGGGAAUAUUGCACGAUGGGCGGAAGCCUGAUGCAGCAACGCCGCGUGCGGGGUGACGGCCUUCGGGUUGUAAACCGCUUUCGCCUGUGACGAAGCGUGAGUGACGGUAAUUGGUAAAGAAGCACCGGCUAACUACGUG